rnacentral:lncRNA from 1 species
CCCGAUAUAAUGUUGAAGGUAGACUUUGUGUUUGUUUUGUUGUCAAUGGAGGUAGGCCAAGCAGCAAGAAUGUUAAGACCGGGACCAAUAAUAUCAGGCUUCAAGAUUCCAGGACUAGCUAUACUUGGUCCCCUAGAAGAAAAUGCAGUAACCACCGGAGCAUCUUUAUCCCCAAUUAUUGUUCCUUGAAAUGCAAUUUUUGCAAUUGGUUUUGACGUUGAGUUCAUGUAGUCAAGAAUUUCCAUUCCAUCUUUGUAGGUAAUAUAUAGAGCCGGAAGGACGUGAGCAUCGGCAGGUAUAGUGAAACCAUCAUCAGCGGUACUAAUGAUAAUCAUGCCAGCACCUCCGGCAUCCUUUACAGUUUUUCCUUUUACUAUCCUGGGAAUACCACCCCCUGCCUUGCACACAACAAUUUUGCCUUUAAUUUCAGGGUCACUCAGAGUAUCUGGUCCGCAGUAAGGUCUUUCAAAGUCAGUUGCAUUCAGUGAAGGAUCAAACAGAGGGGAAAAUGUUGAAUUGUGAUCCUUUGGAUGAAAAGCUGUUUCGCCCUCGAAUAAUUGUUGGUUUCCGAGGGUAACAGUGGCCUUGAGUUUCCUGUCAAUAUUGCUUGCACCUACUGUCAGAAUCCAUGGAGCUUCAUUUGAUAAGGUGCUAUCAUAUGGAC